rnacentral:piRNA from 1 species
UCCCUGCAGAAAGUUUUUGGUCAUAU